ensembl:lncRNA
ACUUUUCAAAGCAGCAAAAGAUUAUUUUAUGGCAUGUAUUUAAGUACCUCUUUUCAACAAAUACAAUUUAACUCAUGUUUGUAAAUAAUCAAAGCAGUAAGCAGUCAACCAGGCCCUUCUGAAGACCAACAUGGCAGAACGUUGCUCAAGAAAUCUGCAUACCAGCCAGGACCAAGGAGAAUCUCAACACAGGUUCAUCUUCACACUGAGAGAAUGGAAAAGUUGCAGAGAUAAUCAUAGAAUAAAUGGAACUAGAAAUCUCAGAUCAUCUAAGAUAAGCACCUGUAAAUAAAGAAACAGACCCAGAUAUGUUCUUCUAUAAAUGUACAGGGCAUUUUGAGAAGGACCAAGACAAAUCACUGGGGGCUUAAGAGAAAUCUGUGGGUUUUAGCAUUUAAUGCAGGGAAAUCUGAGUUGGAACUGAGGGUUGACUGGCAGAAAAGUGUCUGUCUCAAAGAUAAUUAAUUAAUGGACCAGAGGGCCUGGGAUUUAGCUCAGUGGUUCCCCUGCCUGCCUCGCAAGCACAAGGUCCCAAGUUCGAAACGAUCAUUUUAUCCUCCAUGUCAAGAUUAGUAACAGAAAGGGAGAAAAGAAA